CACACAGACACACACGCACUCCCCAGGCCUCAAAAGCUUUGCACAUGGCCUUGGCUACCUCACUGUCAAUCAAACACUGAAUAAAAGAGAUAGCCCUCUCCUUGGGGGCCACGGCCUCUGUGGAUAACAGGCCGGCCGCCCGCGCGCACCCGCUCCCCUCCGGCUCCCCGCCCGCAGACCGGCCCGGCCCGCACCUCCUUCCCCACCGCACGUUCUGCCGGUCUCUCCACGUUUCGGCUGGGCUCGCGCUCCCAGCAGGUGACGACAGGACAAAAGGCUUGCCGGGCCCUUGGGCAGAGGGAGACGAGAUGAUCAGAGACGGAGAAGGCGAUGCAACUGUGCAAGUUGAGGAUGGAACCAUGUGGGACCAUGAGCCAAGGAAGGCAGGACCCUUCUAGAAACCGGAACAGACAAGGAAAUCAAAUACCUGGUAGAGCCUCCCGAGGGAAUGCAGGCCCUCUGACACUUUGUGUUUAGCCCAGUCAAACUGGUUUUGA